rnacentral:tRNA from 1 species
GUUAAGAUAGCAAAAAUUGGUUACUGCAUAAAACUUAAGCUUUUACUUACGGAGGUUCAACUCCUCUNCUUAACA